AGUGAACGCUGGCGGUAGGCCUAACACAUGCAAGUCGAACGGCAGCACAGGAGAGCUUGCUCUCUGGGUGGCGAGUGGCGGACGGGUGAGGAAUACAUCGGAAUCUACCUUUUCGUGGGGGAUAACGUAGGGAAACUUACGCUAAUACCGCAUACGACCUACGGGUGAAAGUGGGGGACCGCAAGGCCUCACGCGAUUAGAUGUGCCGAUGUCGGAUUAGCUAGUUGGCGGGGUAAUGGCCCACCAAGGCGACGAUCGGUAGCUGGUCUGAGAGGAUGAUCAGCCACACUGGAACUGAGACACGGUCCAGACUCCUACGGGAGGCAGCAGUGGGGAAUAUUGGACAAUGGGCGCAAGCCUGAUCCAGCCAUACCGCGUGGGUGAAGAAGGCCUUCGGGUUGUAAAGCCCUUUUGUUGGGAAAGAAAUCCUGUCGAUUAAUACUCGGUGGGGAUGACGGUACCCAAAGAAUAAGCACCGGCUAACUUCGUGCCAGCAGCCGCGGUAAGAC
rnacentral:rRNA from 1 species